rnacentral:rRNA from 1 species
CAGCAGCCACGGGAAUACGAAAGGUCCGGGCGUUAUCCGGAUUUAUUGGGUUUAAAGGGAGCGUAGGCCGCCCCUUAAGCGUGUUGUGAAAUGCGGGUGCUCAACAUCCGACUUGCAGCGCGAACUGGGGGGCUUGAGUGCGCCGAAAGUAGGCGGAAUUCGUGGUGUAGCGGUGAAAUGCUUAGAUAUCACGAAGAACUCCGAUUGCGAAGGCAGCUUACUGUAGCGCAACUGACGCUGAUGCUCGAAAGCGUGGGUAUCGAACAGGAUUAGAUACCCGAGUAGUCCCUGUCCUUAUACA